GCUGGGGUAGCUCAGUGGUAGAGCAUCUCCAUGGUAAGGAGAAGGUCGAGGGUUCGAUCCCCUUCCCCAGCU
rnacentral:tRNA from 1 species